UGAGAGAAUGGUUCAGAAUAGAAUAGAAUAGAAAUAUCCCUUAUUGUCCCUCACUGAGGAAAUACACUUUACAGAAGAAAUCUAAAAUGAAAAUAAAAUUGAGUAAGUGUUUAAAAAAACCUCUGUAUUAAUGCACAUUCGUUACAUUAUACAACACAUGUUCUGUUUUUCAGUUGCAGUUUUCUGCAGUUUCUGCAAUUCAUCCUUUUAAGUUACUUUUAGCAAAUUAUUUGCCAUAGGCCAACACACAUGUAUGUUCACACAGACACACAUUACAUCAGGUGUGUGCAAGUGUGCAGUCAGGGACAUGCGGGGAGGUGGAUCUUCUCUUACCAGGAUGGAAAAGGAACAGUCACUCCCACAGACGCAUUAUUACAGAACACUGAGGGGGGUUCGUUCUCUUCACACAGUGGUGACACCUGUAACUGUCCGUACCACUCAAGAGGACCCUCAAAACAAACCCAACUUUACAGAGGUCUCGGACAUUUGCUCAAGUAGACAAGGACAUGGAGGAGAAGGACUUGCAAUCCGUUGAGUAUUUUGUGAAGAGGGAGGUUCUGGAUGAGUUAUGCCUGGAUGAAGUGGCUCAAAAAGAGACCUGGUCCACUAAACUGACACUGGGUGAUCAGGUGAAAGAGCCCCUGAGAUGUUCGGUGCCCAGGCUGAAACACAUACUUCUAACCUGGGUCCCUGUUCUCAGCUGGUUGCCUCGUUACUCCAUCAGAGAAAAUGCCUUAGGAGACCUGAUUUCUGGCUGCAGUGUCGGCAUCAUGCAUCUGCCGCAGGGCAUGGCAUAUGCUCUUCUGGCUUCCCUGCGACCAGUGUAUGGCCUUUACACCUCCCUCUUCCCAGUGCUGGUCUACUUCAUCUUCGGUACAUCGAGACACAUUUCUAUAGGUACAUUUGCUGUGAUCAGCAUCAUGGUCGGGAGUGUGACAGAAAGGCUGGCACCUGACAGUAACUUUAUUGUGAAUGGCACUAAUGGGACGGAAACUGUGGACAUCGAUAAACGCGAUGCUUACAGAGUACAGGUGGCAUGUUCCCUCACAGUCUUGACAGGAAUCUUUCAGAUUCUGUUGGGUGUGGUGAGGUUUGGCUUCGUGGUCACCUACCUCUCUGAGCCCCUCAUUCGUGGCUACACCACAGGAUCGGCAUGCCACGUGUGUGUCUCCCAGCUCAAGUACCUGUUUGGAAUCACACCGUCUCGCUUCACUGGCCCCCUCUCCCUCAUUUAUACUGUGUUGGACAUUUGCAGCCUGCUGCCGCAGACUCAGGUGCCAGAGCUGGUGGUCAGCCUGGUGGCACUCGCUGUUCUCAUUGUGGUCAAAGAAAUCAAUGACUGCUACCGACAGAAGCUGCCGUUGCCUAUUCCAAUAGAGCUCGUAGUUGUCAUAGCAGCAACAAUCAUUACACAUUUCUGUGAACUUCCUAGUAAAUACAACAUUGACGUGGUUGGAGAAAUUCCCAGUGGGCUCAAGGCCCCUCGUGCUCCAGAUACCACUUUCUUCUCAGGCGUUAUAGGAGAUGCUUUUGCUGUGGCCAUUGUGGGCUUUGCCAUCAACAUUUCUCUGAGCAAAACAUUUGGCCUCAAAUAUGGCUACAAGGUGGACAGCAACCAGGAGCUCGUCGCGUUGGGUCUCAGUAACACUAUUGGUGGAUUUUUUCAUUGUUACUCUGUAACUUCCUCGUUGUCACGGAGUCUUGUCCAGGAGAGCACAGGGGGCAAGACACAAGUUGCGGGGGUGAUUUCCUCCAUCAUUGUGCUGAUCACAGUUUUGAAAAUAGGUCCUCUCUUUGAAGAUCUCCCCAAGGCCGUCUUAUCCACAAUCGUGUUUGUGAACUUGAAAGGAAUGUUUAAGCAGUUUAUGGAUGUCUCUUUGCUGUGGAAGACCAACAAGGUUGACUUGCUGGUGUGGCUUGUAACAUUCAUAAGCACCAUCGUGCUCAACUUGGACCUGGGCCUGGCUGUCUCCGUUGCGUUUUCCAUGCUUACUUUCAUCUUCAGAACACAACUACCACGUUACUCAAUCUUGGGCAACUUACCAGGCACUGAACUUUAUCUGGACACAGACACCUACAAGGAGGCAAAAGAGAUUCCUGGAAUUAAAAUCUUCCGUUCAUCUGCAACUAUCUACUACACAAAUGCCGAGAUGUUCUUGGAGGUCCUGCAGGAGAAGACUGGAAUCGAGAUUGGGAAGCUGCUAUCAGCAAAGAAGAAACGAGAUGCAAAGCAGAAGCGUAGACAAGAGAAAGAGAAAAAGAAAACCAAGAAGGAGGCAAAAAAACAAGAGUCCCAGAUGAACAUAGAAAAUGUCUCUGAAAGAACAAAAGGAGAGAGAAAAGGGAAUAGUGUGGCCUUUAGCAUGACAGAAACAGCUACAGAUGGCCUUCAUAAAGGCCAAAUGAACUUGGCUUAUGAACCUGACAUAACCAUGUCAGAUUCAGACUCAGCCACAGGUUCUGACCACAUCACAGAGUUUUCUCGGCACGGCGAUGAAGAGAAAAAACAGGCCUGCGAAUCGGGCACGCACAGCAUCAUCUUGGACAUUUCCACAACCAGCUUUGUGGACACAGUCACUGUGAAGACACUGAAAAAUAUUUUCAGGGACUUUGGAGAAGUUGAUUUGGACAUCUACUUAGCAGGCUGCCAAGGUAAAGGACACAUCGGACAAAAACAGAGACAGAGGGUUCUCCUUAAUGCUGAAUUAAGGCACUGAAGCUUUACAUAAUGAAUGCGACAAGGUCAUAGCCUCAGUGGAGCCCUGCUACUCCCUGUCAGAUGACAAUGACACAUGAAUAUUUAUUUAGAUGACUACAAUAUGCUCUCUCAUUGUCAUGCAUAUUUCUCUCCAUUUAUGUGUGGUAAAACAGCUUGUGUCGUGGAACAGCUGGAAGCAGCAGAUUUCUUCUCAGCCUCCAUCCCAAAGAGCCGGCUGUUUAUCACCGUCCACGAUGCAGUGCUUUAUAUUCGCAAGAAACAGUGGAAGGCUUAUUUUGUGCUUGAUGUGUCCCACAACACCCAGAUGUGACCAGCAGGGGUCAGAUUCACUCAAAUUUAGCCCUCUUCCUCCUCCUCUUUUCAGGCUGCUUUCUGUUUCAUCACUCACCAUCGUCUCCUCCCCUUUCAGUAAAGGGAGAAUGAACCACCUUGACAUGGCGCCCGGUUGCUAUGGAAACAUAGGGAGCGGUUGCUGUGGCAACAGGCUUUUUAUGAUAUCCUCUAAUGAGAUAUACAGCAAGACGUCACUGCAGCUCUCUCACACUGUGGUGCAUGCAAGGGACAGGGAAGGGGCGGGGCUUUAGUGGGAGAAUGUAACAGUGGACUAAUAGGAGUCUGUAUUUAUAGCCAGUGUGAGAGAGCAGAGUGUUAGAAAGAAAGGUUGACCCCAGAGGGACACUCAUAUGUGAGAGGCGUGCAUCUACCAGUUGAUAUUUUUUAAAGACAACAAAAGCCAAAAGUCUCCAACGCAUAAUCAAUAAAAUCUGAACAGUGUUACUGUUUAGCUGUGCCCCCCCCCACAAAAGCCUUAAUUCUUACAGUACCCCUUCCCAAAGCCCGCAGUAAUGAGCUGAAUGGCAUGCAUUGUGUAGUAGCUGUUACAUUUUAGAGUAGCAAAAUGCGUGUCUAUUUACAGUCAUUAUUUACAUGUGUGGUUGCUCUGACAUCUUGAGCUCCCUUCUAUUUUUGGGCUGCGUGUCAUCUGCUAUUGCUCCUAUCAGAAGCUAAACAGUGCGCCUGUUUAGAAGCUAAACGAGAAUAUGAUUUGCUGUCUGUGUGCUGAUAACUGCCUGCUUUUUUCCCUCAUCUUUUACUUUUUAGCUUUCAAAAAUGUAGGAACUGUAUUUGAUAGUGCACAAAUGUUUAGACAGCGUACAAUGUGUAUUUAUGUGUAAACUGUAUAAUAGACAUGUUUAUGACUCUUAAUUAAUGAGAUGCUAACAAAAUAAAUGAUGAGCCUGCAGGAACACUGAUAAAGGUCUAAGCUAUUUUUUUAACUACCUGGAUGUUAACUAACGGUGGUCCCUGAGGACCACAGGUGUAUGGAAAUUGGGAGGACAUUAUGAGGGUUAAUGAAAUGGGACCAAACGGAGCAGCAAACUGAGGUUAAACAUUUAUCUUCAUAAAACAAACAGUCCAAAGACCACUGAAUGACAUCACAGUGGCUUCAUCCAUCUUUUACAUACUAAACAAUCGUCCCGAUUUCCAUACACCUGUGGUCCACAGGGACAAAAUGUCCCAAGGACAACACAAAGGUUAAAAUGUUGAAAACAUUCAGUUGUUGAACAUCUAUGGAGUUUGUUUU